GACGAACGCUGGCGGCGUGCCUAACACAUGCAAGUCUACGAGAAAAGGGUAGCAAUAUCCUGAGUAAAGUGGCGCACGGGUGAGUAACACGUAGGCAAUCUGCCUUUAGGACGGGAACAACCCCGAGAAAUCGAGGCUAAUACCCGGUAAUGCAGCGGCACCGCAUGGUGACAGUUGUUAAAGGCCCGCAAGGCGCCUAGAGAUGAGCCUGCGCCCCACUUAGGUAGUGGUGAGGUAACGGCCCACCAAGCCUACGAUGGGUAGCUGAUCUGAGAGGAUGAUCAGCCACACUGGAACUGAGACACGGUCCAGACUCCUACGGGAGGCAGCAGUGAGGAAUAUUGCGCAAUGGCCGAAAGGCUGACGCA
rnacentral:rRNA from 1 species